GACGAACGCUGGCGGCGUGCUUAACACAUGCAAGUCGAACGGAAAGGCCCUGCUUUUGUGGGGUGCUCGAGUGGCGAACGGGUGAGUAACACGUGAGUAACCUGCCCUUGACUUUGGGAUAACUUCAGGAAACUGGGGCUAAUACCGGAUAGGAGCUCCUGCUGCAUGGUGGGGGUUGGAAAGUUUCGGCGGUUGGGGAUGGACUCGCGGCUUAUCAGCUUGUUGGUGGGGUAGUGGCUUACCAAGGCUUUGACGGGUAGCCGGCCUGAGAGGGUGACCGGCCACAUUGGGACUGAGAUACGGCCCAGACUCCUACGGGAGGCAGCAGUGGGGAAUAUUGCACAAUGGGCGGAAGCCUGAUGCAGCAACGCCGCGUGCGGGAUGACGGCCUUCGGGUUGUAAACCGCUUUCGCCUGUGACGAAGCGUGAGUGACGGUAAUGGGUAAAGAUGCACCGGCUAACUACGUG
rnacentral:rRNA from 1 species